UGGGGAGUGGUAUACUACGGGAGGAGGAGAGUAGUGAACCGGUGGUGGUGGGGAGUGGUAUACUACUGGAGGAGGAGAGUAGUGAACCGGUGGUGGUGGUGAAUGGUAUACUACGGGAGGAGGAGAGUAGUGAACCGGUGGUGGUGGAGACUUGUAAACUGGAGGAGGGGAGUAAUGCUUAACCGGUGGUGGGGGAGACUUGUAAACUGGAGGAGGGGAGUAGUGCUUCACCGGUGGUGGUGGAGACUUGUAAACCGGAGGAGGAGAGUAGUACUUAACCGGUGGUGGGGCAGACUUGUAAACGGGAGGAGGGGAGUAGUGCUUAACCGGUGGUGGGGGAGACUUGUAAACCGGAGGAGGGGAGUAGUGCUUAACCGGUGGUGGGGGAGACUUGUAAACGGGAGGAGGCGAGUAGUACUUAACCGGUGGUGGGGGAGACUUGUAAACCGGAGGAGGCGAGUAAUGCUUAACCGGUGGGGGUGGAGACUUGUAAACCGGAGGAGGGGAGUAGUGCUUAACCGGUGGUGGUGGAGACUUGUAAACGGGAGGAGGCGAGUAGUACUUAACCGGUGGUGGUGGAGACUUGUAAACGGGAGGAGGCGAGUAAUGCUUAACCGGUGGGGGUGGAGACUUGUAAACGGGAGGAGGGGAGUAGUGCUUAACCGGUGGUGGUGGAGACUUGUAAACGGGAGGAGGCGAGUAGUGCUUAACCGGUGGUGGUGGAGACUUGUAAACGGGAGGAGGCGAGUAGUGUUUAACCGGUGGUGGUGGAGACUUGUAAACCGGAGGAGGCGAGUAAUGCUUAACCGGUGGAGGAGGGGAAGAGUAGAAGUAAUUUGCAGUGGUUUGAGAGACAAAAGCAAGGGAGAAUGCUAAGACAAGGAAAGAGGCCAUUGGUGACCCCAUUUUGUUAUGUGUUUUGCUUUGUGUUUGAUGCUCUUACUCUCUCCCCUUAGCACCCUUUAUAUAGCUUCUCAUUUUCACAUUUUAUCCUUUUUUACUAGUAUCUCUCAUGGUAGUAAAUUUGUGUCGUGUUGUGUGUAAGCAAUACAAAAAAGACAUUGACUAUAUUAAUAAUACAAAAGAAAGAAAAUGUGGUUAGUGUCCCUCGCUCGGGUUUCAUUAUUGAUUAUCUUCUUCCCUUCUAUUAAUUUUGGUAAGAAUUAUUUUUGGUCGUAGUUGAUCGACAUGUACUUCUGCAUGUUCCGAACGUAUAAUACGGAUACCAGAAUAUAAUAUAGACUAUAGAGAACAUUGAAUCUAAAGCUAACAGAAUUAUACCAACAAAAAAGAAGAAAACAAAAAUCUAAAGCUAACACAAUUUAACUAUGAUAUACGUUAACCAAACAAAAUUACAAGAUUUGAUCACCCUAAAAGAGGGAAAAUAUGAGAGGAUGUAUAACACAUCCAUUUCUGAGUAUAGUAAAUGUUAACAGUUACUUCAUUUAACAGCACAUGAAAUUAUAGAAACUUAGCCAUAUGAUAUGAUAUGAUCAUAUGAUAAAUAUGCAAAAACCUCUAAAAUUUGGAAUAUAGAUACACAUUUCUUUGGGCAAAAAUGUUAAAUGUAUUAUGUGUAGUUGUGUACACAUUUUUGCAACGUCUGCAUUCGGAUAAUAACUUUAAUUAUAUCUCUACAAUGUUUGCAUAAUCCACAAAAUAAUCUCAAGGUUAUUUAACUUCCCAUGAGACAAAAUAAGUAAUAACCUAUUUUGUAUUUCAAUGCAUGACAUGUUGUGGUUUCUCAAGUACCCAAAAUAAUGUAUUGAAAGAUUUAGGCAGUGAUGAAUGAAAACUAAUUAAGAUACCAAAUUAUCUUAUUAGUUACAUGUUAAAGUUUUCUAUCAAGAAUUCUAUUUUUCUUUUUAGUAACUGAAUAAAAGAAAAUGUAUAUAGCACAAAAAGAAACAACGCGUUAAAGUCUUAAAGAUAGGCGGCCUAGUUGACUAUAGAAGGAACAUUGAAGUAGAAAGUGGUCCGUCAUGUUCUGGAUUCUCUCUCGUGCCGGUGACAGUCAAAUCUUUGAUUAAUUUUUACUUUUGUGUUUGGGUUUUGAUUCAUAAAUUUUAUAACACGUUUCUUUUGUCAUUACUCUGAUUCAUCCGCCAUCUCAUUUUCUAAUUAUCAAAACCUAAAUACGUUUUACGAUCUUAAGACAAGAUAUUUUAACUUAAGGUGAAUUUUGUUUUAGCUACUUAAUUGUGAAUGAUGUAAAACAACUCAACGAGAAAGGCCAUAACAUAUUGACAUUUUAUAUUGAUUUUCAUGUAAUGUUAACAGAUUGGGAAUUGUAUUAUCACGAACAGGUGUUUUAGAAAUGUACAAGGAGGAGGAUAUCAAAUUUUCGAUUUUAGGUUAAUAAACUAUAAUACCGAAGCUUGGUCAACAUAAGCCAAUAUAACAUUCCUGAUAAUAGAAUUUAAAUGAGAUUUUUUCUUUUGAUUUUUAUCAAAUGGGUAAGUAAACCAGCUGGAUUAUGAUAUAGACAAAUCAACAACUUAACAUUCUAUAUAGUAUUUUUCUCGAAAUUUGACUAUUUUGGUUAGGUUUCAAAAGUUCUAUAACUAAUCUUGACAAUUUUGAUAUAGAAGAAAUCGACGUCCAACGAAAUUAAUAUAAUCACCGGCAUUAAUAAGUUAGAUCAAGUAAAAUUUAUUAGGAUUUGUUAUUUAGAAACAAUACUAAUGUUUGAAUACAAAAUAUUUGUUCGAAAAGCAUGCGAAAAAUAUUGAAUACAAAAUAUUUGUUCGAAAAGCAUGCGAAAAAUAUGAUAUGAUAUAAUAUCAAGGAUAUUAACUAAUCUUUUAUUUAUUAAAUAGUGAUUAUAUAGCAAACAUAAAUCAAGAAUUUGGUUGUUUGAUUUUUGGUAUCCAACGUGUGUGGUAGCUAAGCCUCAUAAGCUGCUUGUUCUUAUUUUUAUUUUGUUGUCAACAAAGCUGGUUGAUUUUUAUCUCCUCUUUGGAGAUAAUAUUAAUAUCAACUAAAUUAUUAGCUACUUGUCGUUGAUUUAUAUAAAGAUUAGUAUUAUUAUCAUAUAUACAUCCAAAUAUAUUAUAUAUAUAUAUACAUCCAAAUUCAAAUGUAUGCAAAAGAAAUAACACAUUAAUCGAACCAUCUUAAUUGUUACUAUUCCCUGGUAAACACCUAUGGAGUUUAUUUUGUCGUAAUGCACACUUUGCCCAACGUGGAUGUAUUUCAAUAAAUGAAGAAUAAAACUGUGUCCCAAUAAAUCACCCACUAUUUAAUUUGAUAUUCUUAUACAGUAGUAUAUUUCUUCAUAUGGAAUGUUUAAAUUCAAGUACCGUCGACAAACAAAAGAAAAUGAAAAAGAGGAAUGUUUAAUCACUGUUAGUCUUUUUUUUUUUUUUUUUUUUAAUCACUGUUAGUAAUAUUACCAUUGAUAAUUUUCAUUUUCCAGUGAUGUCUGUCCUUCUUUUCAUUUUUCCUUACAUUCCUAAUUUAUUUUUGAGACUAUAACAUAAGUAAUGUGAUAAAGCAAUGAUGAAAUAUAUAGUAUGUUACUGAUAUAUUCUAAGUUAUGCGUUCUGUUAUACUGUAUCUGUAUAUUAGCAAAACAUCACUACUUACUAUUCGCUACAAGCCUACAACUGUCUUAAUGAUCCGCGCGUCCUGAUUUAAAGACACGACUCUCGUUUGUUCAGAAGACGUAAAUUUAUUAGAAACUAAUCAUUUUCCAUUUAAACAAAAUUAUGCUAUUUACCUAAAAAAAUGGUCAACAAUUUGUGUGUUGCUUUCUCUCCCACGGUCAAUAUUAAUAUGUGCUUGUAACUAUUUUCAUAAUGAUCUACCAAACAAAUCAAUGACUUUAAAGCAAAAUUCCAUGCAAAAGUUAAAGAAGUCAAAAGUAUUUCUUCCUCCAACAUGGCUGAUUGAUUUUUCAUUAAAAAAUUGGGUUAGAAACUUAGAAUCGUUGAAGCUGGUGAUGAAAAGGCUCCAUCCAUUACCGGAAUAUUCACCUGAACAAUUUUUUACUAAUGGUUUGUUUUGAAGUCUUGAUAUUCAUACAGCUGAUGUUUAUAAUUAAUCGGUUUACGCUAAAAACAAUUACAUUUGAAGGUAUAACUACUGCACUAAGUGUUUUUUUUUUUGUGUUUUUUGUUGUACUACCUAUCACAUUGUAUAUUAUGUUGCAUUAACUUUUUUUUUAAGUAAAGUAUUGAAACAUGUUAUUAUCUUCGUUCUGAAAAAAUUAUAGCUCACAAAAUUAUAUAUAAGAUUCAUUUCUCAUUUUAAUGUGUGAAACUCUGAAAAUAAUAUUUCAGUGUGAAAGCAUUGGAAGGGGUUGGUGAACUUCAUUUCUUCGCGGGGGGCCGCCAGAGGGCUGCUAAUAAGUCUUGUUUCUGUAUAUUUUUGUUAUUCAUCCUUUUAUUGAUUUUGUCUCCUCUCGAGAAAAAUUCGUCCCUCUUAUUCGUUUCUCAAAAUACAUGAUUGGAGUAUUACUCUAAAUGUCUAUAGAAUCAGAGUUUCCUACUUGCUAGCUAGUAAUUGUGCAUCGUACAAACAAAUAGUUUUACCUUUUAGUAGUUGUUAGGCAACAGUUUCUUUCAGUCAUGACUUAUCAGUCAUGAGAGAGGUUAUGAUUAAAAUUUCUCCAAAUUAGGUAAUAACACACAAAGAUACAUAGAUUCAUAUAUAUAUAUAUAUAUAUAUAUAUAUAUAUAUAUAUAUAUAUUCAAGAACUAUUAAGUUAAUAAUUUACUAUCCCAUAAGUCUUAAAUUUAUAGGUUUCUUUUUAUUUGUCUCAAAUUUAUAGGUCAGUUGAGAAAAGAAUUGACGAUUGUGAAAUGCACUACAUGUACAAAUCUUAGUAGGUUUUGACUACUGACUAUUAGAGCAAGACCCAUCGAAGUUUAUUUUGGUUUAUGGAAAUUUUUUUUUUUUGAUAUAUAUAUAUUUUUUAGAUCUUUUAACUUUGCUUACUUUCUUAUUUUUUCACAAAUCAAGUUUUUUUUUCCAUAAAAAUGCAUGCAUCUCUUUUUCUUCUUUAAUGGAUGAAACAAAUAGUUCAAUAAUCCCCUAAAGUUAGUAUUUGGUCCUGCUAAACAACAAAUAUAUGAACAAUGGUUGAUAACAUAAAAGAAUAUGUUAAUCACCGACUAUGAAAAGUAUACAUAUAUAACCUAAAAAGACAUUACCUCAAUCUCAUUAACCUUUUCUUCGUAAAAAUGGCCAAUAUUGAAAAAGAAUCAUGAAGGUGGAUAGAAAAACGUGUAGCAUGUACAUUUUACUUUGUUUAUUAAAAGUAAAAUCGUUUUUGAAAAAAAGUUGAAAAAGGAAACUAAAACACAUUCGUCUACGGUUGUAUUUUGACAAGCGACAUCCAAACUUAGCCAUACAUUGUAAUGAACAGGUUUAAAUAAGUAUUAAUAGAAUCAAAUUUUAAGUGUAUAUGAAUAAGUGAUUGGAAUCCGAAGAAGUUUAAGUUGUUUUUUAAAAAAAUAUAUAACUUUCCAGCUUCGGUAUCAAGUGUGAAUUAGAACUCUAUGAUUGAGGAGACGACUCAACGAAUUAAAAUAUGUUUAUCUUGAAUGCUAACGAUUUAAAAUAUUUGUUCCAAACUAGUGGCUACUAUACAAAAUUAUGUCAACGAUAUUUUAGAUAUAUGGAGACUAGGCGUAUUUGUUUAUUAACCUCAGCAGUAAAUGUGGAUAAACAUCGUGAAGGCUAUGGACCUAUGGUUAUUGACUCCUUAUGAGCACGUUGCUGCAUUUCGUAGGAAACAUUUAAUUGUUAGAGGACAAAACUUACUUCGCAUUUUCUUGGUUCUUGCCGAUCUAUUACUCCUUCCGAUUCGUUUUACUUGUCGUUUUACAGUUAAAAUUUUAUUUCAUAAUAGUUGUCGUUUUAGGUUUUCGAUGCAAAUGUUUGGUGAAAAUUCCAGUUUUAUCCCUACUGUUUUACUGUUUCUACCAAUGAAUUUUUUUAAUAAAAUAUAUUAAUAAAAGGUAAAACAGAAAAUUUAAUGUUUUUCUUAAUUUGUGUGAAAAAAUCUUAAACGACAACUAAAACGAAACGGAGAGAGUAUGAUUUCUUAAAAAUCUAUAGUAAAAAACAUCUUAAGGAAUUAAGGAUGUGUGUUAUGUGAUCAGCUUAUCUUAAAGAAACAAAUUACGUCUCUAAAAUCACAAACUAUUGCUCCUAAGUAAACAAAAAAAACGAAUUGAUGUAAUGUUAAGAAAGUUCAAGUUAACUCUUUAAUAAAAAAACAUUAGUAAUCAAGUGGAUGUUGCUCUAGUUGAGUUUCCGUAUUGGUGUUGGACCUUUAGUUUGAAUUUUAAUUGGAGUAGUUUCACGAAACCUCAACGGAAAAAUGUAUGAGCUUCGGUUUAGAAUUAUUCGCUGUUAAUCCCAAAUUUUUACCAAAACAAAAAAAAAUCUAUUGAUGAUGAAGAGUUAAUAUUGUUUUUGUAAGUGAAGAUUCGGAAUGUAAAUUAGAAAAAUAAAAGAAGAUGAAUGUUAUAGUAUUUAUUUUAGGAAUAUUUAAUCGAACAGCUUUAAUUUACAUAUAGUGAGACCGCAAAUAUCUUAUUAGUUUUGGCUAAAAAUAGGACCGGUAGAGUAUAUUAUACUGCCAUCAAAAUCUGACUGGUUUUAUUUUAAGUCGAAAUUAGGAAAUUAAUCCACAACCUCGAAAGCAAUCACGUCUCUUUUCUUUUCCAUGUGUACUUUUUUUUUUUUGGUAUGAGAGGGGGAGACAAGUCUCCCACCAUUUAUUUAAAACUGAAAAGCAAAUUACACUCUAACAAAUCUAGGAGUUGCAGAUCCUCGAGCGUCUUCAGAAAGAAUCGAGUUCAUCAACUCCGGUCGUCCUUGAAACAUGUGAAAACCCAAAGGUAACGAAAACGCAUAGUUCGCCAAUCCGUCGGCUAGACGAUUGGCCUCUUUAUACACGUGAGAAAUACGGACACACUAGUUCUUUUCCAUGUGUACUACUACUACAUAAAGUUUACACAGCCAGACAAUAAAUGCAAGACGAUAACAUUACAUAAUUCGGACCACCAAAAGAUCUAUUAAAACUUAUCUCAACUAUUAUUCACAAGUCUUCCCAAACUAUGCCAAAAAAAAACAAAGUCUUCCUCGUCUACAGCACUUCCAAACACGUCUUCAAAUAAUACAUAUAAACAAAAAUUAUUGAAAGACAACAAAGAGGAGACAAAAGGAGAGGAGGAAUACAAGUCAAUAAUAUGAACUGAGAAAGACAAAAGUUCAAACAAAGGCUUCAUGGAGAAAGUAGAGCAAAUAUAGUUUUAUUGAUACUACUAGCCAUUGCUAAAUCCUCUUUCAUAGUGUACCAAGAAUGUAUCCACAUCUAAAACCAAGCGUUUUGUAAUGAACAUUUGAAAUCAACAACACAACUUAUAACACGACAUAUGAGCUUGAAAUCUAGGAAGGGAACAUAAACAGUUUCUAUAAACUCAUAUGCUACACUCUCUGCAAAUCUUUGUUUCUCUAGACUCAUGUUGCUUCAAGGAUACAACAACUAAUGUCAUGUGCGAUUUCAUAGAGAUUAUACUUGAAAAGGGAGGAUGUAUCUUUCCGCCAGACGAGAUACAACAAAUUACCAUUUGUUUGACGUACCACAAUGUCCCUGAGUCAUCACCUUCUUCCUCGUUGUCCUGGUCUUGAACCUGGUUUUCUAGAAAACUGGAGCCGCAGGAACUUGGAAUCAGACUCGUUUUCGUCCAUUCGAUAGCCUGUGAAAGGUAUUAGUUUUUAAAGAACAUUAGAUUCAGAGCAUAGAUGAUGGAGUUUAUAAUUUAGGGAUUAGAGCAAUAGUUUUUGUGGCAUUGAGAUUUAAAGUUCACGCUAUAGCACAAUGAGUAAUGGUAUGAGGUGUAGGCUUUGAAAUUUUCGAAACUGAACUCAAUGUAUAACAGUAUGUAUUACUCAAAAGACAAUCCAACAGAAAAAGAUCCAAACUAUAUAAACAAACUUACAAUGCAUGUGAUUCAAAAGCCAGGAAAACAAUAUUUAAAGUGGCAAGAGAUUUUGAGAUGCUUAUCAUUUUUACCUUGUAAGGCGCUCAAAGCAGUCGCUGCACAGGCAGGGUUUGUAAAAUCAACAAAACAAAGAACAAUAGGAUCUCCGUUCCGCUGCAUUGCCCAUAAAUAUGAACCCAUUAGCAGGUUUAUCAAAGUAAUUACUUUCUAUGACAAGCGAUUUUCAGCAAUAUCCAAACUUUUAAAGUAGGAAACUUACAUGUUUGGAGUCUUUGGUCACAAGUCUCACUUCUCUGUAUCCUACAAAAGGUCGAAAUAUAUCUAGACAUCGGUUAAGGACACUGAAGAGAAAUAGUUUCUGUUAAUAUUGGUUUCAUAGAAAGAAAAACUUGUUAUGUUCCAUCAAGUAGGAUACGAGCUACUUCCCUCCUUGAGCAAUUAGAAGGAAGUCCUUCAACAUAUAAAGUGUUGGAUGCAUCUGGAGGUAAAGGAAGUGUCUCUCGGUUACGCCUACCAACAGAUUCUGGUGGAUCAAAACCAAUGGCCUGCCCAUUUGGACCAUAGUCUAGAGGGAGAACUCCACCACGUCUCAUCAUAAAAUCAUCUACGGUUUGACCAUUACCUCCUCCUCCUCCUCCUGGUCUUCCCAUGGAAACAGAACCACCUUCUCCUGAUUGCAAAGAAGAUGUUUGCUUCACCAAAAAAAAAAAAAAGGAAAAACAUUUCAGGCCAAUAAAGAAAGAAGAAUGAACAGAAAACUUGCAAUAUGAAUCAACAAGAAAGAAUGGUACCACGCUCUGGAGAUAGCGAUCGUAAGCUGAACCGAUAGUUCUGGUAUCGGGAACAUCGAGAUCCUCAUCCCGCGGAUAAUAACCACCACCGUGCCCUGUAGCCAUUGUUGAUGGUGGAGCUUCUACAAGACGGCAAAACAUUGAAUUCACACUAGCAUUGUCUCUUUCAAGCAAACUAGGAGCAUAUGUGGAAGGAGCUUACCGAAAUCGGAACGGGGACGUUUCGGAGGACCACUAGGAAGAUGAUGUUGCUGUCGCUGCUGGUUCCAGUACCCAUCCGCCAUGGAAAUCGAAGGAUCAGAAGGAAAAAUUAAGGGAACAAAAAAAAAACCCUAAUUUCGAUGAAUAGCUUCGAUUCUAUCUGGAUUUGAAUAGAAGAAAACCCUAGCUUGCUUGUUCUUCUGCUCCGAAGCACUCUCGAAAUCAAAUUUUUUAUCAAAUCUCUUUUGAUUCAAUCAAUUUGUUGCGUCUCGAUUUCGAAAUUUCUGAUUCUUUUGUCUUAAAGAUCCGAAUCUCGACGACCCGGCCCGUUUUAUGACAACAGAUCUCAAUUUCCGCGAUGGUUUUAACGGGUUGCUAUAUCACUGAUUUUUAGGCCCAUUUAAUUGAUUGAUUUCGUGGGCCUAUAUGACCUGGAUUCAAUUAUCCAACUUCUGAUUUUAAGAUGUCCACAAAAAUAUUACUGUCUAUAAAUUAGAUUUUCGCACAUUAUGGUCAUGUUAGUUUUGCUUAGUAAGUAAUCAACAACUUAAUCAUUUCCAUUAACCAGAAACUAAAAUGUGCAAUUUCCUUUUUAACUAAGAAAUUCUGAACCUAAAUCAGUACAUCCCCUCAUGCUAGAGACUAGAGUAUUUUAUAUGGUUUCCUCUCGAACCUGCGAUCUAAGAAUAUUUACCAAUUGAGCUAUUAACACUUGGUAAUAUGCAAACUUUUAGUCGCUAGUUAUUAAGUACUAACCUAUUACCUAUCACUAGACUAGCAAAAAAAAACUAUGAAAUGAAGAGGGCCUAUAAAUAUGUAGCCUGAAGAUCAGUGAAGUGUGAAUCACGGAUUGUUGUACGUGUAUAUAUAUGCUUUCUUUAGGAGUAACGAUAAAAUACUUUGAUGCUGUCUUGGAGUAUUUAUGAUUGUGUCAUUUGCUGACAUGCAAAAUCACAAUGAAUGAACUCUGAAUACGUAAAUUAAUAGUUCACAAACAAAAAAAAAAAGUAUAUGUAAACAUAUAAACGAUGAAUAAAAACAGAAUUAUGAUAUUAUAACAGGUUAAUAUAAAUGUAGGAAAUGAAGAGAUGGACCCAUACACAACAACAAGCAACAAAAGUAAGUAGGUUUCCAUGUUUCCUUGGACCUUUCCUUUUUAAUCAUUAUUCAUUUUAUUUCUCUAAAGUUUAAUCAUACAAUCUAUAAUCGCUUCAUCUUUUUUUUUUUUGUUAAAAGAUAUUCAAAUCUCUUCAUCUUAGUAAUUACUUUAAUUGUAUAAAAAAUUUCCACUCCAAAACUUUCUUGUAGAUUAUACUGUAUUAAUAAGAAAAACUAUAUAUAUAGAUACUUUCAUUAACAUUAUAUAUAUACAUGUAAUUUUGUUUUAACACACAUAUAUAUACAUAACUAUCUAUAUGAUCUGUAUUAGUUUCUUGAAACGAUAUUGUCAAGUGGUAUUCAUGUGAUUUCACGUUUCAAUUAACUUCAACAUUUGCAACGUUUGAUGUGAAAUCCAAAAUAUUAUUCGUCUUAUUCAUUAAAAUGUUAUUUUUAAGUCUACUUAUAUAUAGAUAAUAUAAUAUUCAUGUACAUUUGAUUUAGACUUAGAACUAAACAUUUCGAAUAAUAUAGUAUUAAUAUCAUCUAUAUAUGUAUGGAAAAUUGAACAGCUUUUGUGUCUUGAUACUUGGGCAUGCAUCAUCCAAUCCAAGGUUUCUAUUUGCUUUUACAAUGUCGAGACGAGCUAGAUCCUAUGUAAUUAUGUAUUGCUACCAAACAAAUCACAUUCAUAUAUGAAUAUUCGCUAAUAACCAGUUAACCACUAACUAUUUUGUUUUGUCGGUGAAUCAAGGAUAACACAAAUAAAGAAUCAUAUAACAAUGAUAAAUAAAAUAAGGAAGAAGAUGGAGAAAAAGGGAGAUGCACUAAGGGAUUAUUGUUUUCACCAAAAGUGGAUACAUUCUCCUCGACUAACUCCCCGAAAAUGUGGAGGGAAGCACCAGACCAAACGGACCCACCUACCUCCCCGUAGGGGUAAUUUUGUCUUUUCAUAGCAAACGGCAACCAACAUUCAACGUAGCUGCGCCAAAAGAAUACACCCUCUCUCCUCGUAAAUUACCAUUAUAGCCCCAAUCUCAUCGCCUGAACUUGUUAGACCGGACAAACUAAACCGGCCAGCUCAGAUUGUAAUUUAACUCGCACGAAUCAAAACCGGAAUUACACUCUUCAAAAACUAGUUUAGUAAUUUAUGCUAAGGAUAUUUGAAAAUAGAUUACCAGUGAAAGUAUAAUGGUAAGGAAUCUAUACAAUGAUAUUAAAAGUAAUCAAAUCAAGAAAGUCAAUACUAUUCACAUAUAAACAAAUACUAAUAUGUACUCUCAUUCUCAAUAAACAAAUGCUGCAUAUAUAUAAGCUAAUUAAUUGAAUAAGAACUCAAUGUAUUAAUCAUAUAUUUAAACAAAUACCAGUUUCUUCAGCAAACAAAUGAUGCACAUAGCAAAAUGAAAGUGGUUUCGAGAACACAAAAGAAUCAUGAAUUGGUUAAUUUACUAUGAAAAUUAAUCAUCUAAUUUGAAACCUAAAUAUUUAGAUAUAUGGUGGUUGAAACCAUCCAUAUAUAAUAGUCGUGUAAAAGUGUUGUGUUUCUGUUGAUUAGCCAAUAAGCUUCUACUUUUUAUACAAAGCAUUAACUUAACAAACAACUUCUUUUACAUAUACGAAAUCUAACAAUUAAAUCACAAUGAAAUGAAGUAGGACGAGCUAAAAUGUAAUAACAUGUAGCUUAUCAGAUUGAAGAGAGAAAACAAUUAGUUCUAAAACAGAGAAUAUGAUAUGUUUCUUCUCCCAUUCCCAUACCAAAGAAAAAGACUCUUAAAAAAUAAAAACAAAUUAAGUUCGAAUGUACUGCUACUGCAUGGGGAACGCCUCUUCACUUUUUUUCUUUUGUUCUUUUUCUUUUUUUCCUAGCAUCAAUAGGGUAUAUUGUACUAUAUUUUUAUUUAAAGUAUAAAAUACUCCCUCCGUUUUAUAAUAUAAGGCGUUUUGGGUAAAGUAUUUUGUUUUACAAUAAAAGUUGUUUUCGAGUUUCAAUGCAAAUUAUAUAUUAUUUUAAUAUUUUAUAAUUAUUUAUAUUAUGCAGUCUCUUUUAUGAUUGGUUGAACUUUUAAAAAGUAGAUCUUCUUAAUCGGCGUGUUUUUACCUAAAACGACUUAUAUUUUGAAACGGAGAGAGUAGUAUAAAUUGAUUUUAAGAAGAUAAAGAAAAAUAGAAUAAAGUAUAUAUUUAUUAAUAACUCCAAGAAAAAAAACUGUUUCCUUUUUUAUAUUUAUAUAGAUUUAAUUUUGUGGUAAAAUAAAAAUUUACCGACUAGUGUCUGUGACUCCGUCUUCUUCUUCUCACACCGUCGUCACUUUCUUCUUUGCUUUUCUUCUCUCUGUCAUCGCUGUCUCUGACUGACUUGUCUUCCUCCUUCUUCCUUUUUGCUUUUCCGUCGUUUUUCUCCGCCGGAUUUUUCUCUCCUCCUUUGUUUCGCCGUAAAGGCAAAAUUUUGUUUCCUGAACUCAAAAUUAAGUUCCUGAAGAUCGGGUUCUGGUCUUUUUCCAUCUCGGAGAAGCCUCUUUAGAUCUGGGCAAGCACUGCCAUCUUCAAAAGUUUUACCUUUUUUUCUCUUUCUCUAUCUCUCUUCACCAACUGGGGUUGGUUACGGGUUUAAUUGAUGGUUUCCGCGGCGGCUAGGACCUCGUGGGCUCUUGUUUUUAGAUGAUGAACGGUCCUUCGUGUAAGGAUCGAAGAGGUUGGUGCUCUUCUGCUCUAUUUUUCACAUGGAAUGGCAGAUCUUGUGACCUAUAGUAAUGCCGACCACAACGUUGAACAGGUUCUUCUGCUCUGUCUCUCUCUCAUCUUCACUACCGUUCGUCACUUCGAUUUUGCUCAGUUUGUUCUAAGCAGUAGAAAGCUCAAAUCUUUGAUCGAUAGUUGUAAUCAAGGAGCUUUAUAAUUUGAACCCAAGUUAGAAAAUUUGGGAUUUUGUUUGUUCAAAUUCCAGCAAAGUCUCUGUCAAAGAGUUUAUAGCUGGAUUUAGAAUCCGAGCUAGGGGUUUAUUUGUUUCUGUUUCCAUCAGCUUUCGUGUAAUUUGUCCUUUGAUAAUUAUGGUUUUUGAUACUUUCAUUUGAAGUGAUCGUUGAGACUCAUUACUUGGUGAUGCAAAGGAAUAUGCAGUCGUAAACGUAUCCCACGCGGUUCUUGUUAAACUUAUCCUCUAUGUUUGGCAGGCAUUGAUUACAUUGAAGAAGGGUACUCAACUUUUGAAAUAUGGUCGCAAAGGGAAGCCUAAGUUUUACCCUUUUAGACUGUCUACUGUGAGUUGCUUUCUGCUCCAAUCACUUGUUUUUUUUUACUUGUUUGUUGGAUUAUUGCUUCAUCUGAUAAACGGGUGUUGGUUGUGCAGGAUGAAAAAUCUUUGAUCUGGAUAUCGAGUAGUGGUGAGAAGCGACUGAAGUUAGCGUCUGUAUCUAAAAUUGUACCUGGGCAAAGAACUGUAAGAUAUCUUCAUUUUAUAUACGGUCUUUAUGAUGAAUAUUCCAUAUAGUAUGGCGAAUUCCGCUUGCCUUUCAAGCUUCUAUAUAAUAAACUGUUUCAUCUUUUGCAUCAGGCUGUUUUCCAGCGAUAUCUUCGCCCAGAGAAAGAUUACUUAUCCUUUUCUCUCUUAUACAACGGAAAAAAGAAGUCUCUUGACUUGGUUAGUCAUCGUGAAACUGAUAUUUGGACAAUAGUUUCAGCAUCUCUUGACAAUAACUCCAGGCAUAACAGUUCACUUCUUAUUAGAUUUGUAAGGACAAAGUUGAGGCUGAGAUUUGGAUUGGAGGCCUGAAAACAUUAAUAUCGACUGGGCAAGGUGGGCGCUCAAAAAUUGAUGGCUGGAGUGGCGGAGGCCUUUCCGUUGAUGUAAGUACUCUGGAAAGGACUCUGUGUAUACCGUUUUUCUAAUCAUUUUUCUUAGGACUCCUUUUUGCCAAAUAUAUAUAUAUUGAUUUAUCAAAUGGGUCACAAACAAUGUCUUGGUCUGUUGAACUCAUCGGUUGAUCCUGUCAGAUUCCAUUUGGGUGUUUAAUGCGUUUGUUUGUUUUCUAUCUAUUUCAGGCCAGCAGAGACUUGACAUCAAGCAGUCCAAGUAGCAGUUCUGCUAGUGCUUCACGGGGUCACAGCUCUCCUGGGACUCCCUUUAAUUUUGAUCCAGUUGCUUCUCCUAAGAGUGUUGAGCCUGAGGUUCCUCCAACUGACACAGAGAAAUCACAUGUUGCAUUGGACAACAAAAAUAUGCAAACAAAGGUAUCUGGUUCAGAUGGUUUUCGGGUUAGUGUCUCUAGUGCCCAAAGUAGUUCUAGUCAUGGUUCUGCAGCAGAUGACUCUGAUGCUCUAGGUGACGUUUACAUUUGGGGUGAGGUUAUAUGUGACAAUGUUGUUAAGGUUGGGAUUGAUAAGAAUGCAAGUUAUCUGACCACAAGAACGGAUGUCCUUGUGCCGAAGCCAUUGGAGUCGAAUAUUGUCUUGGAUGUUCAUCAAAUUGCAUGUGGUGUCAGGCAUGCUGCAUUUGUGACAAGGCAAGGUGAAAUUUUUACUUGGGGUGAAGAAUCUGGAGGAAGACUGGGUCAUGGUAUUGGGAAAGAUGUUUUUCAUCCCCGUCUUGUUGAAUCUCUCACAGCCACUUCAUCUGUUGACUUUGUUGCUUGUGGAGAAUUCCACACUUGUGCUGUUACACUGGCUGGAGAGCUCUAUACCUGGGGUGACGGUACACAUAACGUCGGGCUUCUUGGGCAUGGCUCUGAUAUCAGUCACUGGAUACCAAAGAGAAUUGCCGGUUGUCUAGAGGGGCUUCAUGUGGCUUCGGUAACUUGUGGACCAUGGCACACCGCUUUAAUAACAUCAUAUGGGAGGCUUUUUACAUUUGGAGAUGGAACAUUUGGUGUCUUAGGGCACGGUGACAGGGAAACAGUUCAGUAUCCAAGAGAAGUUGAAUCUCUAUCAGGAUUGAGAACGAUUGCGGUUUCAUGUGGAGUUUGGCACACUGCUGCUGUUGUUGAAAUCAUUGUCACACAGUCAAACUCAAGUUCUGUAUCAUCUGGAAAAUUGUUCACAUGGGGUGAUGGAGACAAAAACCGUCUCGGACAUGGUGACAAGGAUCCUCGGCUUAAACCAACGUGUGUGCCUGCAUUAAUUGAUUACAACUUUCACAAAAUUGCAUGUGGACACAGUUUGACAGUUGGUUUGACAACGUCUGGACAAGUGUUCACUAUGGGGAGUACAGUUUAUGGUCAACUUGGAAAUUUACAGACUGACGGAAAAUUACCGUGUUUGGUGGAAGACAAGCUUGCAAGUGAAUUUGUCGAGGAGAUCUCCUGCGGGGCAUAUCACGUGGCGGCCUUAACAUCUAGAAAUGAAGUUUACACAUGGGGUAAAGGAGCCAAUGGUAGAUUAGGGCAUGGUGAUCUGGAGGAUCGAAAAGUACCAACUCUUGUGGAAGCUUUGAAGGAUAGGCACGUAAAGUACAUUGCUUGCGGAUCAAAUUACACUGCAGCCAUAUGUCUGCACAAAUGGGUCUCUGGUGCUGAGCAGUCUCAGUGUUCAACCUGUAGACUUGCUUUUGGGUUUACACGGAAAAGACAUAACUGUUACAAUUGUGGACUUGUGCACUGUCAUUCAUGCAGUUCAAAAAAAGCAUUCCGAGCUGCAUUGGCCCCAAGCGCGGGAAGACUAUAUCGUGUCUGCGAUUCUUGUUAUGUUAAGCUCAGCAAAGUGUCUGAGAUAAACGAUACUAACAGAAGGAACAGUGUUGUGCCUCGUCUUUCAGGGGAGAACAAAGACAGAUUAGAUAAAUCUGAAAUAAGAUUAGCUAAAUUUGGUACAUCCAAUAUGGACUUAAUUAAGCAAUUGGAUAGUAAAGCGGCCAAACAAGGAAAGAAAACUGACACUUUUUCACUCGGUCGCAACUCUCAGCUGCCUUCUUUGUUGCAGCUGAAAGAUGCUGUGCAGUCUAAUAUAGGCGAUAUGCGAAGAGCUACUCCAAAGUUAGCUCCGGCUCCAUCAGGUAUUAGCUCUCGGUCAGUGUCACCUUUCUCUAGGAGAUCUAGUCCUCCCCGCUCUGCCACUCCUAUGCCUUCAACUUCUGGGCUCUAUUUUCCCGUCGGUAUAGCAGAUAAUAUGAAAAAAACCAAUGAAAUUCUGAACCAGGAGAUUGUUAAGUUACGAACACAGGUAUACAUUCUCUGAGAAGGGACUCAUGCUUCUUAGUUUGUUCUUCUAUGUUCAUUAAUGUGAGUCUAAUUAAAAUCAUGGAUUUGGUUUAGGUUGACAGUCUAACUCAAAAAUGUGAACUCCAAGAAGUAGAGCUUCAGAACUCUGUAAAGAAGACACAGGAAGCCUUAGCAUUGGCAGAGGAGGAAUCUGCCAAAUCAAGAGCCGCGAAAGAGGCAAUCAAGUCGCUCAUAGCGCAGGUAUAAUCGGUUUGAUACAUUUGUGAACUACAUUGAAGCUUGAAUUAAAACUGAAUUUUACUCACACAAGCUAACUCAACUGGAAAAUUUGGCUAUAUUUGCUUUUGUAACAGCUCAAAGAUGUAGCUGAGAAGUUGCCUCCUGGUGAGAGUCUAAAACUCGCCUGCCUUCAAAACGGAUUUGACCAGAACGGUUUCCAUUUCCCUGAAGAAAAUGGUUUCCAUCCUUCAAGGUCGGAAUCAAUGAGUUCAUCUAUAUCUUCAGUUGCACCUUUUGACUUUGCCUUUGCAAAUGCAUCUUGGUCUAAUCUCCAAUCACCAAAGCAAACGCCUAGAGCCAGCGAAAGAAACAACAAUGCUUGUCCAGCAGACCCACGGCUUAGCAGCAGCGGGUCAGUAAUCAGUGAGAGAAACGAGCCUUUCCAGUUCCAGAACAACAGCGACAAUGGUUCGAGCCAAACAGGAGUUAACAAUACUAACCAGGUAGAAGCAGAGUGGAUUGAACAGUACGAGCCAGGCGUGUAUAUAACCCUUGUCGCCCUCCACGAUGGAACUAGAGAUUUACGAAGAGUCCGCUUCAGGUUAAAAUUUGCUCAUACGCUUGAAUCUAGAGAUUCCAUAUUUUUACUAUAAGGUUUGAUGAUGCUAAAGGUUGUGAUUGUUUUUCUUUCUUGCAGCCGAAGAAGAUUUGGGGAACAUCAAGCUGAGACAUGGUGGUCGGAGAAUCGGGAAAAAGUGUAUGAGAAAUAUAAUGUAAGAGUGUCGGAAAAAGCAACGGCUUCGCAAACGCAUAGAGACAGAGAGGAAGAAGAAGAAGACAUUCUUCAGUAGUAGACUCAUAAGAUAAUAACAUGUGUAUGAUUUUGCCCCAUAGUUUUCAGUUUCUCUAUGUUUUGCCCCAAAACUCUUCAUUGUUCAACUUAACUCCUUUUUCUUUUCUUUCUCUAUCUCGAUUCAAUGUGUGAGAUUAAUUUUCAUGUCCUUUACAUGUAUGUUGUAUAUAUAUAGACCAUCGGUUCUCGGAUUACUUUAGGAAGGAAAAAAACAUUUUAAGUAUCGAAUUUGCGUAAUGAAGGUCAUGUUUUUGUCUUUUCAAAUUGAAAUAAUUUUGAUUUUUGUGAUUAAUUGACUAACGAUAACCAUUAGGUGUACCUAAUUCUGUGACCAAAGGUGACAAUGUGUUGCCAAAAUUUUAGGUUUUACAUUUUUAAAAUUCUCAUUAUUUAUAGUAUUCAUUUGUAUUACCAUUUUAGACAUUACAAUUAUUCACCUGUAAAAUUUAAUACAUAUUAUCUACCAACUUGUUGUUGACUCUUGUAAGGCAAUAACUAAAAAGUGUAUACUAAAAGAGUCAAAUUUUACUCUUUAUCAUUUACAAAAAAAUGACAGUGAUGGCAAAAUCAUACUAAAAAAAAUGACAAGUUACUUCGUCUGAUGACAUGAAAUUUCAUAUGAAAACGAUCUCUACUUAUUUACGAUUUUCCCAUUGUAUCAUCUUGGCACAUAGUAGUUUAAAGAUUUUUUUUUUUUUUUUAACUAUCACUUAAUAUUUUCCUUUUGGAAAAUCAACCAAUUACAAAAAAAACUACAUAAUAUCAAUAGUUUCGAAAUAUCAAAUACAUCUACAAUUUGCAUAGAAACUUCUAAAACAUCUUAUAUAGUGAAACAAAAUAAAAACUUUAAAACAGCCUAUAUAAUGAAUUAGAGGGAGUAAUUGAUUGGUUGAAAUAAGAUCGACACUAGUUUUUUUUUUCCCUUUGGUUACAAAUGUUAAGAUAACUAGUUAUGGUUGGUUGGUCGUUGCUAAUAAAUGCUUUAUUUGCUCUCACUAUAAAAUUUCAAAGUCCUCGUUGAAUAAUCAAACCAAAACUAGAAAAAAUUAACACCAUUAAUCAUCACCUCAGGUCCAGACUCAGCAGGAGUACACCAUUAAACAUAUAUGAAAUUACGCCCAAAACCGCAGAUUUGAAUGAAUGCCUCAACAAAGUAGCAAAUAUACCACCAUUUUUGAGAAAGACUUUCUCAUGGGAAGAGAUCCAAUCCCUUUGAGCUAUCAAAAACUUUCUCUGUUCUUCAAAAGUUUUAAAGGAAUGUUCUAUAACAGACGAAAACAUAAGUAUAUACUUCAUAAGUUACAUCAUAUGUCACGAAUAUAUAUGCCGUAUAUCGAUGACCUCACGCUCAGAAAUUAAGGCAUCAUUUAUGGUGUGACUUCAUUUAUGAAAGUUUUAUAUAGUGUCUCCACUCUCCAGGUCACAUGUAAAUACAGUAUGUCAGUACGUACUCCCAAGAAAAAUUCUAGUUGACCGUUAUGAUGUAUUUUCUCCAUUCCAUAUAAUUGUUGUUUUAACAUUUACAACAGAAAGCCAUAAACAUAUUACAAUUCCAAUAUUCCAUUACACUUUUGAAUCUUGGUAUUUACAUAAAUGGUACUGGAACAUAUUUAGUAUUUUUCUUUUGCACAAUACUGGCAAAUCCUUGUUUUUUGAAAUAUUCUGGUACAUAUUCGUUGGUGAUCUAAUUUAAUAACGCGAGUAAGAUAUCCUGCCGCUUACCAAACAUUAAAGGCUUCUUCUCGAUUUAAUAAAAGGAUAAAACAUAGAUGUUUUGUGAUAGAAUAAAGAAGGUACAUUAACGUAAUGAUGCAUUACAAUUAUUCAGUCAUGAGUUCAUAUAUUGAAUACAUACAAACUAUAAUACAAGUAGGGUUAAGAUAAAUGGGCGUGCGUCCAAAAAUAGCUCGACCUUGAGUUGGUUCCUAGAUGGAAUUAGUGGCUGCAAUAAUUAAUUCCUACCCACAAAGAACUUUCUUAAUUUAAGAGAAGAAAAACACAAAGGGAUCGCAAGAAGAUAAACAUGACUAGCUAGAUCUCUAUGUUAUCAUGCAUAUAUAGAUGUAUAUAUAUAUAUAUGUGUAUAUGUUUAAGUAUCUUGUAGAUAAAGAUCAUGGACAUCUAUGGGUAUUAGUACUCUGUAAACCGUAGACGUUGUGUUUCCUGGAAGGCGCAGAAGGUGGAAUUGGCAAUGUCUUGGGCAAAAAUCCUGAGAAACUUUCUGGAGGAUAAUCAUCAUCAAUGAAACCUUGAUUCUGAUGAUGAUGAUGGGGAUUAGGCCUUCUCACCUUGAAAAAUCUUUGUGGUCUUGAUGAUGAUGAGUGUCUUCUUAAGCUCUCGGCUUCACAAAUCCUCCAUGAGAACACCAUCAUAAUUACCACUAGAAUCAUCAUUGCUUCUAUACGUUUGUUGCCCAUUAUUAUUAAGUGGUAAGUAUACUAUGAAGCUUGCUUUCAGAAAACAGGUGAGAGGGGAAGAUGAAGAAAAACAGAAACUAAGUGUUCUUCUUUUAAGGUGAGUAUUGGGGGGACUGGUUGAUAUUAUAAGAAAAAUAAUUGUACUAACUAUCAUAUAAUACUAUAUAUAUUGAUAUAAAGUUGGGUAUACAGGGGUCUUGAUUAUGAUCUUUCUUACCGAAAUAACCUCUAACCUUAUAAUCCUGUUCUUUUGAACAUAUAAAAGGAAUUAGUUUGACAUUUUUUCAUAUAUUAAGUUUGUUUUAAUUAAAGUCAAUCUUUUGAUUCUUAGUUAUGAUAUAUUUUCUGUUUUGUUGUUCAUUGAAAACUAGAAAAGCUUGGGUUUCUACAAAAACAUAUAUCAUAAACUCUCCAGCAAAAUAUUAUUCCUUUUCAAUAGGAAAUAAAACAGACUAACUAAAUUGUAUGAAUCGAGACUUAUUGGGAUUUUUAUUAUUAUGCCUUAUGUAUAGGUCCACAUAUUAAGCAUAAGCAUAAAUGGGCAACUUUAAUGUUUUAUAGUAUAAACUAUUACUACUAAUUAAUUAAUAUAAAUGCAAAUUCGGUGUACUUUAAUUAGAAAGAGGAAUUGCUUGAUUAAAGGCAUGAAAGAUUGUGUUGUCUAGAGGUGGGAGUGGGUAAGAUGUGUUAUACUUUUGAACGGGUCUUUAGGGGAUCAGGGGAUUCCUAUACAGUAAAUGUGUUCAUAUGUGUAAAAUAUGAUGGUCUUCUGGUUUUGUAAUUGCUAGUGGCAGCAAUUAACAAUAACUUUGAACUAUAGAUUUUUAUUGUUUGUUUUAUAGUAGUUAAGUAACAAAUAUAAUUUGGUUGUUACUAGUAAACAUACAUUGCUAAACCAUCAACCACAAAACAAAAUAUGAUUUAUACACGGAAAUUUAUCAUCAUUAUUGAACCAAAAACUACAAAACAAAUAUAAUUUGGUUGUUACUUGUUAGUCACAUCCAUAUAUACAUUUUUGGAUGACUUUUAGCAAAUAAAUCCUGGAGUUGGAAUGUAUUUACAAACAAUGCCAUUAGAGUUAAUUCUUAAGAUUUGAAAAAAUUAAUUAAAGAUAUUAUUCUAAAGAUCGUUCCUCAAAUCUCCUCCAACUAAUUACUUUAAAAAUCUCGAUAAUAACUAUUCCGUGAUUUACUGUAAUCUUCAAAUAUAUUUGGUAUGAUUUCUCAUAAUGAAAGAUCCAUCAUUAAUUGCAAUAAUAAAUAAAAACAAUAAUUUCCUUUUAUUUUAAAAACUUUCUAACGACAAAUGUAUUGCAAAAUAAAUAAUUUCCUAAAACAAUUACAGAACCUAAUAACUGUUGUAGACUUUUUAGGAAAAUAAUUACGUAAAUAUAUAACUUAAAGAUAACAAUUACUCAUCAAAUCUUUUUUUUUUGUUAAUAUUGUAUCAUAACAAGACCUAAAUCAAUGGACUACUUAUUUUCUAUAUAUAAGUGAGGUUAUUUAGUCAUCAAAUCAAUGUGCAUGGUUCCACUCUCGCCGUCCCUCAGCUCUGCAAAUCAUUUGCUUCAUUUUCUACAUGUCUUGGACUAAGGUUCUUCCUAUUCUUCUUUGAUUUGAAUCACGUACAUCUCUUUUUUUUUUUUUUUGAUAAAUCACUCACUUUUAUCUUUCUAUGGCUUUAUGUUUGAUAGCCUCACGUUGAAUUGAGGAGCUUCCCAGUGUAUUCAGAAACUGGUCCUUCUACGUUACCUUAAUCUACAUAUUUUUGUGUUUAGACAAAUGAGGAAAUGAUUCUGAUUUUUAUUGUUUUGGUAUAUUGGUUCAUGUUUGAGUGUGAAAAUAUUUGCAGGGUUAACCAUAAUCCGUUGUAGCUUCUUAAUAUUGAUUUGGAGAUGCUCUUAGUAUUGAUUUGAAAAUUUUCUUUGGUUUGUUUACUAAAAAAUAUUUAGUGGUUUACCAUCAAAUGAAAAAAUCAUGUGAUAAAAUAACCUUUAUAGAUUAAUUAAUCUAUAUUUAUCAAUUUUUUGAGUAAAUCAUUUUCUAAAUAUAUUUAUUUUAAUGUAGAUUAGUUAAAUUAUGGUUACUAUUCGUUAUUUGACAAACUCAUUUGGCUAUAUUACUUAUUUUAAACCAAACUCAUUUUGGCAAUAAAUAAUGUUUAUUUAUAAAUUAGAUUAACCCCCAAAAAAUUAUUACCAAAUAUAUAAAGAUUAUUUAUGUCUAAAGAAUAAUAUGUUGCUUUAGAUUAUUAUUAUUUAUAAGGUUUCAAAUAUUAUAAAUAUUUUAACCUUAUAAGAAGUAUAAAUUAAUAAUAUUUAAAGUAUCUAUAAUAUUUAAUUCCAUAAAAAGUUUAUAAUAUUAAUAAUAUUUGAACACUAUAAAAUUAUAAAUAUUUAUACUAUGGAACCACUUAAAAGCAAACUUUUAAAUUGACUCGAAUUAUAUGUUUUCUAAACAAAUGUGUUAUUAAAAAAAAAUGAUGUUUAAUUUCACGGGACGAGGUUAUAUGGUGGGACGGGUUUAGAUCGAUAAUAAUACCGGAAGAUAUACCACGGGUUAAAAUCCUAGAAAUAAUAAUCAAAAUUCAAUAUAUAAUCUUAAACACUAAACAAAACAAAUAAUAUUAACAAAAUAAUUACAACUUAAAAUUAAAAACUUUUUAGUUAAAAAGUCGACCCGCGGUGUACCGCGGGUUAAAAUCUAGUGUCUAUACAUUUUUUGUAUCUAUUUGGCAUAUGUAUGAAAUUAACAUAUAGAUUUGGCAUAUGCACGAAAUUUCAUUACAGUGAAUGUGAAAGAUAUAGUAAAAAUCUUUUUCGGUUAAAGAAAAUUCAAUUGACAUUAAAUGCAUUGUGAGGAACAUGGAAAUAAAGUAAAAACAAAAAGAAAAAGGAGGAAAACAUAUAAAGAAAAGAACAUGGAUUGAAAUAAUAAAUACUAUGAUAGGAAAGAUACGUGGGGUAGACACCACACUAAUAUGUUUGAAAUUUUUUAACUUACAAAAUGAAAAUACUACUGAGCCCUACCCGCAUCGGUCCUUCUUCUAUUAUAUCUCCAUGAUAAAAAAUCUCUUCUUUUGUUUUAGGAACAUCGAUUAAGUUGUAAUAUGUAUCAAGUGUUUAGUUUUUAUUUGAAAAUGAAAAAAAAAUUGGAGCACUAAACAAUCCAAAUAUGAAAUUAAACCCUGAUCUUAGUUUUAAAUAUGGGAAUGCAUGCAUAAUGCAUGUUCUAAUGAAAAUAAAAAGUCUAAAAGUCAAAUCAGACAUUUUUUCAACUAUCUGACAUCUCUUCGUCUCACGUAUACUAAUAUACUAUAAUAAAUGACCAUUCUUACCCAUUAAAGAUAGAAAUUAAUUACGCAAACUAUAUGUAUACACAGAGACAGAGUCGAUAGUUCUUUCAAUUCUUUCGGCUAACGCAAAAUUCGGCUCAUAAAUAAGCGACCAAGAGAUACGCUCAGUUUCACCGACAAAACCCUUACACACAUAUCUACUUGCCUUACAUUACCAGAAUAGUCGAAUAGAGUAUUUUUUCUUGUCGAUGUUCAUAUUUAUACGACUGACAAAAGUAAAAUGGGAUAAAUAUUAUUGAAUACAAAAUAAAUCAAAUAAAGUUGCAAGCAUUAUUAUACUCAAGCUCACUAAACAAAAAGGAGGAAAUGCAAAAGAAAGAAAGAAAAAAAGAUCAAAGUGGACCUUGGUUUGCCGACAGAGCUGAUGACAUAUGCAAUAAGAAAAGACAUGUUACGGAGUAUUAAAUAUUGUUGGAUAGAUUCAGGUAGUCCUACUUUUUUAUUUAUUGGGUCUCGCAUUUAAUAUCAUUUUUUGUUUUUUGGUAUAAACACAUUUAAUAUCAUAUGGUUGCUAAAGUAGGCCCUUUGGAAAUUUCCAAAUCCACAGGAAAAACAUUUAAUUACGAAAUGCCCGACAGUUUUUUUUUUUUUUCUUGCUUUUUCUUUCUCAUAUAAAAACUUCAACAUAGACAUAUGUGAGAUCAUGCUAACCCUAACCGUCACCGAUAUCAAAGCUUUGCCUCUCUGCUCGUAUCUCAAUUAAGCUUUAAGGAGUUCGAGUCCUUCCCUUCUGAUAGUGGUAUAAAAAUACAAGGCACGCGUGUACGUAUUUUUCAUCUAGUUUUGUAUGAUUUUCAUGUUUGGGUAUAUAUCUUGUUCAUUUCAUUUUGUGGUGAUCAUGAUAUGUUAUACGGAAUUCCGAUUGAAAUCACCAACUAUUUAGCUAUAUUUAUAAAUAUAUACACAAAAUUUAUUUAAUUCAUAUACAUAUAUGCUUAAUUGAAUUUGACAUAUGUUAAAAACUUAAAAUCAAUAUAUUCUUUUGCUCAACUAGAAUCAACUAAAAACUUAAAAUCAAUAUGUUAUACGGAAGUCCAAUUGAAAUCACCAACUAUUUAGCUAUGUACUGUAAGUUGAAUUAUAUUUAACCACAUUGUAUUUAUUUGUUUAUUUUUGCUUGUUAAAAUGGGUCUGAAGAAUCAUGGACCGAGACAUGUACAUAUCUCUCCGUCGAAAACUCAUCAUAAUCCCAACUAUACUAGAACUCAAGUGCGCAAAAAAAAAAAAAAACUUUUCUUGGAGAGGUCCCUGCCUUUCACCGUUGCCAAUUGCUAGUUUGCAAAACACAUUUAAUUUUAUAUAACGGUCUACUAGACCUAAUUACAAAGAUUGUAACAUCCCUCAAAUAAACCUAUAUCGAACAUAACAGAGGCAACACAUGACGGGCCUCGACAUUAAUGGGCUUUCGUGGAUAAGUUUUCUUCUAACAUCUUAAUGGUGACUAUCCCAAAAACAGAAAAACAAGAAAAAAGAAUACAUAAAUAUCAUUAUACAUUAUACAAACUGCAACAUAUUAUAACACGGAUCUCAUAAACUUUUCAUUCUCCAGCAAAUGAUGAACAAUAUAUGAAGAGUAGCCCAUAUAUAUCACCUUAAUUUAAUUAAUUUGAUAAUAGUUUCUUUCAUUGUAACCAAAUUGAGACUCUCCGGGAGGACCGCGGCAAUAAGGUGGCUCGAGACAUUCCUUAGGAACAGGAGCGUAAAUAGGUGGAGCGUACGAAUUAGACGGCGUAUCUGCAACACAGUCCUACCUUAUUAAUUCUAUAUUGAUAAAAAAGAAUGAUAUAUACAGAGCUGUAAUUAAUAUUUCAUAACUGUAUAUACGAUAUGUCAUGUUAUGAACGGCAACAUACCAGUAAAAACAACUCGAGCAUGGGAGAUUAUGAAAAGAGCCAAGAAUGAGAAAAGCAUCAUCAUAAGGACCUUCGAUGAACUUGGCGUUUUAGCCAUUAAACAAAUAUCUUUCUCUUAUUUUUAUCUUUUUUUUCUACAAGUUAGAUUUGGAAAGAGCCGAGUCAUGUGAACUUAGGUGAUUGGUUGAUAUUAAUAGAGUCUACUACAGUAUGUUAAGAACACAUUUGCUAAAUUUACAAUAAUAUCCUCCGUCCUUGCCAAUCGUCGCGACUCGCGAGGGUCCUCAUCAAGAGGCCCGCCCAACCAUUGUCUCUCCUCAAAGAGAAACUGACAAACUAUGAUUAAAACUCUAAAAACUUUUUUAAAUGAAAAAAUGAAAAGAUGUUGUCCACAAUUUCUACUUUUCCGGGCAAAUAAGUAAUAAGUUAUUUAUUCAAUUUUCUCAAUCUGGUUGUCCAUCCACAUGACUAUUUAGACCUUGUGGUGUCUUUUGUCUAUUUACAGUCACAUACUUAUCUGAUAAAUUUUAUAAAUUAUCUAACUGAUUUUACAUGAAAUAUAGAUAACUUGUUUGUUUUCGUCCGCAUAACUUUUCAUUGACCGGUAUUGACUGACUAUUGAGCGUCUGUUCAUGAAAUUUACAUUGAACAUAGAGUUCUGUCCGUAUACUUGACAUUAAUAGCUUUUCAAGAGAGGCCAUUAAUGGAGCUCGAUCAUGUACACUCGGAAACCCAUAAAGUGGUGAUUCUCGUAAUAUAUAAUUAAAGGUAAGUACGAGUGUAAAUAUGUUUUUUUUUUUGUUUCUUUUGAAUGAAAAGUGUAAAUAUGUUUUUAUAGUAUAUGGGCAUUUAAUUUUUGAAAUUUGAGUUUGAUUGGUGACCUUAGAUCUCAUCUCAAUAUUCAUAAUUUCAUUCGAUCUCGAUGUGGUUUUGGUCGAAUUUGAUCUCGUCUAUAUCCAAUAAUUAUGGUGACAAAAAAAAAAAACAGAGCCAGCAUACAUUAGGCCAUCUGGAAGCAGUGUUCAAGAAAGCGCUAGGCGCUAAGCGGGCGGUGACUCAGUGCCUAGCGCCUAGAACGCCUAAUCGGGGCCUAGGCGAUUUUUAGGCGGUUUAGACGUUUAUAACAUAAUAUAUUAUAAAUAUGAUAUUAUAUAUAAAAGUUAUAUAAAAUAUUAAUAUAAAACUAAAAAUUAUGAAAUUAUAAACAAGAACUAGAUAAAAUAUUUAUUUAUUUUUUAUAUUAAACAAUAUAUGAAUAUUUAUAACUAUAUAUAUAUAUAUAAAUAAAACUCUAAUUGAAAUUGAAAAAAUACAUUAAACAAGAUCUAUGUAAUUUUAGGCGGUCAAGGCGGUUAUCUAGACGUCGAAUGAGAGCCUAGCGCCUAGUCGGGGCCUAGACGACCGCCUAGACCGCUUUUUAGAACAGAGUCUGGAAGCAACAAUGAGAGUUUCUCAAAAACAAAAAAAAAAUUAAUAUUUUAAUUAUUGAAAUACAAUUUAGAGAAAAUUAACAUCCAUGCCACAUUUGGUUCAAUUUUUUUUUUCUACCACAUUGCAUGCCCAUUGCCAUUUAUCACUCAUACCACAAUUACUGUGUAUAAUGACCGUUUUGCCCUUCUUUUUGUGUGCUCAAACUUCGAGGACAAAAUUCAUUGUUUAAGCACAUAAAAGGAAGUUUACAUACAGUUGUCCCCGAAGUUUGAGUCUUCCACAAUUUCAUUUUAUUUUUGCAUGUUAGCUGGUUUUUAUCCCUCGAUUUUAAUUUAUUGUUCUUCGAUUUUAGUUCUCCUAAAUUCUAAUUGCGGUCUUUUCAUUUUGUUUGAUGUUUAUAUUUCGUUUGAUUAUUGUCCCCGAAUAGGUUUAUUGUCCCCAAGAUACUUGUCAUGUCUCCCAAAUAUUUGUUCCUAAAUGUUGCACUUUAUCUGCCACAUCACCUGAGGACAAAACCGUAUUUUUUAUACCACAAUACCACAUGAAUGUGGUAUGAGUGGAAAUUUUUUAUCAAAUAUGGUAGAAAUGGAAAGGUUUUGGUCAAAUGUGAUAGAAUUGAUCAAAUUCUCUACAAUUUAAUUGUUAUUUAAUAUUAUAUUAUAACAUGGAUAUAUCAUAUAUCUCCCAAUCUUUUUAUUCUCCACCAAAUAAUGAUGAAAAUAUAUAAAGACACACCCAUACAUCACCUUAAUAAAUUUAUUUGAUUAUAAUUCAUGUGACCAAGUUGAAACUCUCAUGGACGGCAAGGAGGUAGGAAACAAGCACGGUACCCAGAUCCUGGGGGAGGGCCGCCAUAUGGCGUACCUGCAAUACAAGUCCUAAUCAUAUUUAUAAUAAUACUAUUGAUACAAUGCGAUGAUAUAUAUACACGGACUAUGGAGCUGUAAAAACAGUAAAAUUAGAUAAUAACACGUGAGAUUACAUAUUAUUCAUAAAUGGAAACGUACCUGGAAGUGAUUGAGCAUGGGAGAUUAUGAAAAGCGCCAAGAAUGAGAAAAUAAUUAUCACAAGGAGCUUCGAUGAACUUGGCAUCUUAGCCGAUGAAUAAAUCUCUCUUUUAUUAUUUUUUUUUUUUUUCUCUUACAAGACCUCGAAAGGUCUGUAAUAUGGGUGAUUAGUAUAUUUAUAGACUCCAUAGUCUGUAAUAUGGGUUAGAAUCACAAUCUGUAAAAUUACAAGAAUACUCUUCAGUCCUUCGCGAUCAGAGGGUCAGACUGCUUAAACAUCAGACCAAAAAGAUAAAUGUGGUGUUUCGAUUAGCACUAUAUUGGGGAUAUAUCUUUAAUCAAGUGAUUAAGUUCAUUUGACUCCAUCUUCCCCACCGGAGUUCGACUCCACUAAGUCGCGUUACUCCGCGUAGUAGAGAUUGACUAUGGAUCGGACCUUGUGAAUCCAAAGAUGUCAAACAAAAAAAAGAUUAGCACUAUAUUUUGUGGCCUAAAACUAAAACAAGUGUUUUACUUCAUUAUGGACGGGCCGGACCUGAGCACGGCAAAUACAUCAUCGUGCAAUCUUUUUAUUUUCUAGUAAAUAGUGAUUAAAAUAUGAGAAUUUUAGGUGUGAGGGCAUUUUUUAAAUUUGUAUUUAGAAUACCAUGUGUAACUAACUCGUAAAUUUGAUUCAUUCAACAUAUAUUAUAUCAUCAAUAAAUCUUAUAUACUUUCCAUGCGUAUUAAUAUAUUGUAGAUAGAUAAACUUUUAUUGUUACAGAAAUCAGAAAGCACAGCCAAGAUCAUCGAGCAAUCUUUUAUUCUCUAGCAAAUAGCGACAAAAAUAUAGAUAUCAAACCUUAUUCUAUGUUACUAUGUAAUAUGUAUUUAAAGAAAACAAAAAAAAUGUAUUUAAGGAAUAUUCUUGUUUAUUUCAUGUGUGAUAAUGUGGGUAAUUAGUAUUUAUAGACCUUUGUCUACUUAUCAUAUGGGUCGAAAACAAAAUUUAAUGAUAUAUUGAUAUUUCACAGAAUGUGCAUAACCCUACGCAUUUAAGUAUACUCCGGCGUACACGCUUAUGGAAAUAUUUGUUUUCAACUCCAAUAUUUUACGUUAUGUUCGAGUGUGAGCAAAAAACCAAAACAAAUUCCAUCUUAAAAAAAAAAAAGGUGUAGAUAAUCAUUACAAUCAACAAAAUUUUUUUUUUCAAUGGUAAGCUUGUUUGAAAAUAAACAUGCAAUAGAAACAAAUGCAAACUAACAAAUAAGCGAAUAUUUUAUGGUUUAAAAUCACAUUAAAUUUUAAGAAGGCGACUAAUCAUUCAAAAUGGGUAUAACAACUUUUCUAUAACAAUUCAAGUAUAUAUGAAAUGUCAAUCCCAUACUGGAAUAGUAGCGGAGUAAACAUAUUAAUUAGACUUAGAUUUCUCUGUGCUUUAUUUCUUUCGAGUGACUUAUUUGCUCGGUCUUGUGGUGCAAGAAGACUUUGAAAUAAUGUUCUUUUAAAUUAACCAAUCUUAUUUUCUUUAUCAAAAAAUAUGAACAGUUUGAAUCAAUUUGCUAACUUCUGUUAUAUCAAGGACAAUUUUCUCAUUAAUGUUGUCAAAAGUGUCAAUUUCUUAUCUAUUUAUACUAAAUCAAUAGUCACUUUAAUGAAAACUGCAAUACUCUCUAUUUGACAUGUGACAAAACUCCCAAAUUUUGCUCUUUCACUUUCGUAAUCUAAUUCUAUUAUUUUUGAAAAAAAAUUAGAAAAAAAUACACAAAAUCUUACCACUUUCUUAGCAACCACUCAUUCUCUACACGAUCUCAAAAUUAUCACUUUUCCAAACUUUCUCCCACUUAAAUUGAAAAAACCAUCAUAAUGAAAAAACCACCGUAAUAAAAAAACAAAAAAAAAAUCUAAAUUGAAAACAAAAAUAUUCUAAGAUCUGAUUUUCUUCGUAAUCCACGAUCUCUAACACAACUUUUCACUUUCGGCAACUCACUUUCUUCAAAUAUUAAAGUUAAAAAUAUUUAGAUAAUACUAGUAAUAUAUCAUUUCAGAAGCUGUUAAAACUUGCUGUAAUUAAUAGCUUUCACUUGAAUUUGAGUUUAAAUCUUGCUGGUGUACUAUUUGUAAGGGUUUUCGUUGCGUCAAUAAUAGGUUGAGAUUUUCUGGAACAUUACUAAAGUUGGGGUCUCACUAAAGAAAUUUGAGACAUUUUAGUCAUUUUUCAAAAGUACAACGAGGAAUUCUUCACUUUUUGUUUUACUUACAAUACUAAUGUGAUUAAGGUUUCGAUUUUUUUUUGUUGACAGCGGUUUUGAAUUAUUAUUGAGCCUGAAUUUGCUCAUCCGAAUACAUGUUACUUACCUUUUUUCAAUAAAAUUUGCACUAAGAUUAGCUAGAAGAUGCCAAAGUCGAUCCGAACACUCGUAUAUACAUAUACAAAAUCCAAUAAUAUAUAUAUUUCUAACCAUAUAAAAACCAACCAUAAUUUGUACAAUUAUUUCAAGAUAUGUUUGCUGUAUAUACAUAGUUAUUUAGUUAUAUUCAUACAUAAUCUCUAGAUCUUAUUGAAGGUACAGUUGCGUUUAAAAUGACAACCUCGAAGUAUACCACUAGAUUUUUUGGUUAGGUGAGCAUCCUGAGACUCAAGGAAUUUACAGAUACAUCUUCUUGAUUGCCUAAAUUUGUUACAACAUGCUCCGCCUUGGUGAGGUUCCCCAGCACCUCCGUAUACAUGUGUAUUGAUGCAAUGUCUAACUUCAGGUAGGCAUUCUUGUGGCAUUGGCAUCCUAUACUUAUUACAAUUGGGUUUAGAAUAAUGACAACCACUAAGUACACCAUUAGCACCUUUGCUUAGCUUAGGAUCAUAGGACGAAAGGAAUUUACACACACAUGAUACUGAGUUCCUAAAUUUCUGACAACAUGCCCCGCGGUAUGUAGGUGCCCCGGCGGCUCCGUAUAUAUGCUUAUUGACGCAAUCUCUAACUUCCGGUUUGCAUACUUGUGGCAUUGGCGUGGGCACCACCUUCACAGGUUCAUCGGGCUUCUUAGGAAUCACCACAAUUGCCGGACCGGUGUCACCGCCACCCGAAGGCUUGCCGCCUGAAGCCCCACCCCUAUAACCGGUGCCAACAUUACUCCCAUCCCUAAUGCUGCCGCCGCUAGGGAUAUUUCCACCCCUAUAGCCGGGGCCAGCAUUCCCACCACCACCAAAAUAGCCGCUUCCAAUACCACCAGGAUUCCCACUACCAACAAAGCCGCCGCCGCCGCCCCUGCCGGAGACUUUAAUCGGAGCCGGAAAUGAUGUCAAGAGUAUGAUGACGGAAAUGAGCAUCAAUGGAAUGAUCUCCAUGUCUAAUGAAUUAGUCGAGCUGGUCAAGAUGAAUUUGCUUUCAUUUGUAGAAAUGAUCUCUGCUUUAUUUGACGGGUCUUUAACUAAAAUAGGAAAUUGUAAUCAAUGGUUCCUACAAAACAUGCAAAAUGGGAAUUGAUUCCUAUAAAGAAGGGACGAUGGUAAUACGUUUAUCUAGAUUAUUAGUUUCAACUAAACGAAUAAAUCGGCUCGAACAAUGAAUUUUUUAGUUAUAGAUAUAAAUAAAUUAGCAAAGAAUAUAGAUAUAGAAACCAAACAAAGUAUUUAUAGUUGAUUCAGUAGUUAUAGUAUUUUAAAGCUGUGUCGGUUGAGUGUGAAGUUAGACAAGUAAAACGUAUGGUUGUUGGUAUUGUCGGAUACUAUCUCUAAAAUUUUCGCUCAUUAUUUGACAAAUAAGGCACACUCUAAUAUCAUCAUCACUCUCUGAAAACCAAAAAAAAAAACAUGUAAAGAAAAUGAAAAAAAACUUGAAUGGUAAAGCCACAAGCAAAUGACUCAAAGCGACCUAUUGUUGGGCUUGGAGGACCUGGUUUUGGCGAACUCAACCAGGUCUUUGAAAAGCAAAUCCUCUGGUUUCUCUUCUUUCUUCGGUUCACUAGUUGUCAAAGCAAGGUUCCGGGUCAGUCCCUCGUAAGAGGAAUCUGAGCCGCUACUCGAGUGGUGAUGCUCAAAGAACUGUUGCCUCUGGUUGUGCCUUGAAGGCGGAGGUGGAAGAUUCCUAAUUACCUCAGAGGAUUUGCUUUGUGGACUUGCAUCAUCGAAAACAGGAGAAGAAGAAGCAUGAGGAGGCUUCUUUACUCCCUGCGAGGAGGAGCCUUGAGGUUUAUAGACAUCCCCACUAAGGAAAUCCACCAUACCCGAAUCACUACCAUGUACUGGUCUCAUUGUAGGUGGUGGUGGUGGU
rnacentral:lncRNA from 1 species